GUCCCCGUAGUUCAGUGGAUAGAACGGGAGUUUCCUAAACUCUAAACACAUGUUCGACUCAUGUCGGGGACACAA
rnacentral:tRNA from 2 species